rnacentral:misc_RNA from 1 species
GAUGACGAACGUAGCGAAAUGCGAUAAGUAGUGUGAAUUGCAGAAUUCAGUGAAUCAUCGAAUCUUUGAACGCACAUUGCGCCCUUUGGUAUUCCUUAGGGCAUGCCUGUUCGAGCGUCAUUUAAACCUUCAAGCUAAGCUUGGUGUUGGGUGACUGUCCGCUUCACUGCGGACUCGCCUCAAAAUUAUUGGCGGCCGGUACAUUGGCUUCGAGCGCAGCAGAAACGCGAACUCGGGCCCGUCGUAUUGGCUCCCAGAAGCUAUCUUCACAAUUUUGACCUCGGAUCAGGUAGGGAUACCCGCUGAACUUAAGCAUAUCAAUAAGCGGAGGA